UGGUGUGCGGUUGAUUUGCCUCCGUCGUAGGGCACCGCUCUCUGGUAAAAUAAGCUCCUUGAGCGAUGAAAGUGGUCAGCAAUGGGCCUAUUUGUACUACGGUCAGUCAUCAUCCGAUUCCUAAAUUGCAAGUUCAGUUCGCUUCCGUUUCGAACGCACUGACGACGGCAAGAGCAGAGGCCUCGCCCGUAAGCGGAGUGGACGAUACAAUUAGGUCGCCGUGUAUUAAUUAGGUUCUUACAGUCCGAUGAUAUAAGAAAUACGUCGAGAUCGGUUUCGCAGGUCGGGUUCUAAGGAGCCGGCCGAGGGGAAGGGGGAGAGGGCUUGGGGAUGGAGGGCACGAAGCCUCUGGGCCACAUAUACCCCUUUGUCCCACCACCUCCUCCUCCCCGCGUCCCACCUGCCCUCCCUCUCCUACUCCACCUCCACCUUCAUCAUUGCAAAGGCAGUUGUCUGUUUUCCACAACGACGAGCGCUGACUUCGUCUGCUUGGGAGAACAUGGAUGGCGUUGAUCGGGUAACAUUCAAUAAACUUAAACAAAAAAAUCUACUGACAGCAUGAAUCUGGCCCACCUACUUCCAUGAGCACGAGAGCGAAGCCCAAAUUCCUCAGUGUCCGAAGUCACUAAGGUCAUCCAUCCCAUGGAGUUGCUAAAGGUCCGAGUGCCCAGUGCUUCCGAAGAACUGAAUCACGAGUUUGACAAUAAGCCUGCUACUCCCAACGCUUUUACCUGCGACUUCCAGGGGCUACGAAAGCCAAGGACCCUCUCUUGAAGGUCCUCUCAUUAAUAAGUACCAUAAUCUUCUGAAGGAGAGCCAGCAUUAGGUAACUUCACCAUUGUUACGGGCAGAGCUCUCGGCCAAGAACAGUGUUCUCUGUGACCUCAGAAAAAUGAUACGAGCUGAGUUUAAUUGUGCAAGAAACGAUACAACAAGAUGAGAGAAAGAAAUUGCAGUAAAGACAUUGGCUGCAGUGAACCUUCAACAUGGAAGUGUGUCAUUACCAUGGCAUUCAUAAGCUCGUAAUAAAGAAA